rnacentral:rRNA from 1 species
UGGGUAAUCUACCCUUUGGCCUGGGAUAACGUCUAGAAAUGGACGCUAAUACCGGAUAAGACCACAGCUCUGAGGAGUGGUGGGAAAAGGUGCUCGCAAGGGUGCCACCGAUCGAUGAGCCCGCGGCCUAUCAGCUAGUUGGCGGGUAACGCCCACCAAGGCUACGACGGGUAGCUGGUCUGAGAGGAUGGCCAGCCACAUUGGGACUGAGACACGGCCCAAACUCCUACGGGAGCAG